GCCGGAGUGCUGGAACUGGAAGACAGGGCGGUCUCAAAAACCGCUGGGGUUGAGGCCCCGUGUGGGUUCGACUCCCACCUCCGGCA
rnacentral:tRNA from 1 species